GGCUCAGGAUGAACGCUAGCUACAGGCUUAACACAUGCAAGUCGAGGGGAAACGAUAUUGGAAGCUUGCUUCUGAUAGGCGUCGACCGGCGCACGGGUGAGUAACGCGUAUCCAACCUGCCCAUCACUUGGGGAUAACCUUGCGAAAGUAAGACUAAUACCCAAUGACGUCUCUAGAAGACAUCUGAAAGAGAUUAAAGAUUUAUCGGUGAUGGAUGGGGAUGCGUCUGAUUAGCUUGUUGGCGGGGUAACGGCCCACCAAGGCGACGAUCAGUAGGGGUUCUGAGAGGAAGGCCCCCCACAUUGGAACUGAGACACGGUCCAAACUCCUACGGGAGGCAGCAGUGAGGAAUAUUGGUCAAUGGACGAGAGUCUGAACCAGCCAAGUAGCGUGCAGGAUGACGGCCCUAUGGGUUGUAAACUGCUUUUAUAAGGGAAUAAAGUGAGUCUCGUGAGACUUUUUGCAUGUACCUUAUGAAUAAGGACCGGCUAAUUCCGUG
rnacentral:rRNA from 1 species